rnacentral:rRNA from 1 species
UACGGAGGAGGCAAGCGUUUAUCCGGAAUUAUUGGGCGUAAAGCGUCCGCAGGUGGCACCUCAAGUCUGCUGUCAAAGACCGGGGCUUAACCCCAGAAAGGCAGUGGAAACUGAAGUGCUAGAGUGCAGUAGGGGUAGAGGGAAUUCCCGGUGUAGCGGUGGAAAUGCGUAGAGAUCGGGAAGAACAUCGGUGGCGAAAGCGCUCUGCUGGACUGCAACUGACACUCAGGGACGAAAGCUAGGGGAGCGAAUGGG